rnacentral:rRNA from 1 species
CUACGGGUUGCUGCAGUGAGGAAUUUUGCGCAAUGGGGGAAACCCUGACGCAGCAACGCCGCGUGAGCGAAGAAGGCCUUCGGGUCGUAAAGCUCUGUCAAGUGGGAAAAAAAUUCUUUGAUGAACAGUCAAAGGACUUGAUGGUACCACUGGAGGAAGCACCGGCUAACUCCGUGCCAGCAGCCGCGGUAAUACGGAGGGUGCAAGCGUUGUUCGGAAUUACUGGGCGUAAAGAGCGUGUAGGCGGUUUGACAAGUCAGAUGUGAAAGCCCCGGGCUCAACCCGGGAAGUGCAUUUGAAACUGUUUCACUAGAGUAUGGGAGAGGAGAUUGGAAUUCCUGGUGUAGAGGUGAAAUUCGUAGAUAUCAGGAGGAACACCCGUGGCGAAGGCGAUUCUCUGGACCAAUACUGACGCUGAGACGCGAAAGCGUGGGGAGCAAACAGGAUUAGAUACCCUAGUAGUC